GGCUCAGAUUGAACGCUGGCGGCAUGCCUUACACAUGCAAGUCGAACGGUAACAGGUCUUCGGAUGCUGACGAGUGGCGAACGGGUGAGUAAUACAUCGGAACGUGCCCGAGAGUGGGGGAUAACGAAGCGAAAGCUUUGCUAAUACCGCAUACGAUCUCAGGAUGAAAGCAGGGGACCGCAAGGCCUUGCGCUCACGGAGCGGCCGAUGGCAGAUUAGGUAGUUGGUGGGAUAAAAGCUUACCAAGCCGACGAUCUGUAGCUGGUCUGAGAGGACGACCAGCCACACUGGGACUGAGACACGGCCCAGACUCCUACGGGAGGCAGCAGUGGGGAAUUUUGGACAAUGGGCGCAAGCCUGAUCCAGCCAUGCCGCGUGCAGGAUGAAGGCCUUCGGGUUGUAAACUGCUUUUGUACGGAACGAAAAGACUCUGGUUAAUACCUGGGGUCCAUGACGGUACCGUAAGAAUAAGCACCGGCUAACUACGUGCCAGCAGCCGCGGUAAUACGUAGGGUGCGAGCGUUAAUCGGAAUUACUGGGCGUAAAGCGUGCGCAGGCGGUUAUGUAAGACAGAUGUGAAAUCCCCGGGCUCAACCUGGGAACUGCAUUUGUGACUGCGUAGCUAGAGUACGGCAGAGGGGGAUGGAAUUCCGCGUGUAGCAGUGAAAUGCGUAGAUAUGCGGAGGAACACCGAUGGCGAAGGCAAUCCCCUGGGCCUGUACUGACGCUCAUGC
rnacentral:rRNA from 1 species